rnacentral:rRNA from 1 species
GAUGAACGCUGGCGGCGUGCUUAACACAUGCCAGUCGAGCGAGAAGUUUUGAAAAGAUUCUUCGGAUGAAAUUUAAAAUGGAAAGCGGCGGACGGGUGAGUAACGCGUAGGCAACCUGCCCCAUACAAAGGGAUAGCAUUUGGAAACGAAUAUUAAUACCUUAUGAAACUUAACUAGUGCAUGCUAGGUAGGUCAAAGAUUUAUCGGUAUGGGAUGGGCCUGCGUCUGAUUAGCUAGUUGGUGAGGUAACGGCUCACCAAGGCGACGAUCAGUAGCCGACCUGAGAGGGUGAACGGCCACAUUGGAACUGAGACACGGUCCAAACUCCUACGGGAGGCAGCAGUGGGGAAUAUUGCACAACGGGGGAAACCCUGAUGCAGCAACGCCGCGUGAACGAUGAAGGCCUUUGGGCCGUAAAGUUCUGUUCUAGGUGAUGAAAACUGACAGUAACCUAGGAGAAAGCCCCGGCUAACUCCGUG